ACCUUUCCUGGAAGAUUAUGAAUGGACUGUUCACUGCUGAGCUCUAUACUGGCAUAUUUCAUUGGCAUGUGAAAUAAAAGUUUUAUAUGUAACUCUGCAUGAAUAUGUAGGACUGAUCCCUGCUGUGUGCAUCUGCUGACCGUUUGCUCUAUUCUGUUCUAUACAAUUGACAUGUUGAAUAACAGUUUUAUUGUACAUCUGGAGGAUUAUGAAUGGACUGUCCCCUGCUGUGGGUAUAUAGUGGAUGCAUUACUCUAUCUACUGGCAGGGAAAUUAAAUAGAGCUGAUAUCUUACUCCGCUCCCUACUCCCACUGGACCUCACAACCAUUGGAUACACUCCUUCCCCACAGGGAUACACCUCCCAGGACACAGUAGUGGAGGCACAUAACGGAGUGAUUAACAG